CAUGACAGGCACCAAGGGGUUCACAUUGAGAGAUUCGUUGAUCGCCUGGGAGAAAAAUAUUCUUAUGAAGCAGACUUUCCAGGUUACUAUUAAACUGCAAGCUAGAUAAUACAUGUAAAUCGUCGAAGACAAAUGUAAAGGUAAGUUGUUAAUAUCAUAAGCAGAUUUGCACGGUUUUGUUUAGACGUUUUGUUAUUUGAUUUGUUAUUAUGAAGACACGUAAUCGACAUGCAAUUAAAAAAAAAAUGAGGCAAGGUUUUUCCUGUGUUUUAUCACACCGACACGCCUCCUUAUCUUUCUCCUUUUCCUCCGUUUUCCCCUCUCUUUUUCCCACUUCCUCAUCGCGCGUGAUCGCACACGUAACAAGCGAGAAAGAUAAAGCAUGCACACAAGGCGAAUGUUAAAAUAUUCAGCGCGUUUAUAUGUUUUUUUUUUGCGUGCGCAUAGGAAUACACCGAUGGAAUAUGGAACUCAAAGCUGGUUAUAGCAUUUCCAUUGCCCGAGGAUAAUGCAUUUUUAACAGUCUACGAAAUGUUUUAUACAUUUUUUGAAAGUGCUCGAGUUUUCUAUCAAUAUUUCUGUAAUUUUACACGAUGUAUAUUUUAUAAACAGCAUGAGAAAUGGUACGAAUAAAUACAAAAAAAGACAAAAAAAGACAAAAUAGAAAUAUAUAUUUAUGCAAUUAGUGCGGUAAAUCGGUUAAUUGCGUAAAUGCGGGAUAUGGACACACGAGCCGAAGACCCGAUUCGCACAUGUCGCACACAAUAUUUUUUAUUACCUGUGCGUCGAAAUAUUUGUCUUUUUGUGUGAAGUGACACGUGAGAAAAGGAUAAUUUCUUAUGAUAACAAAAAA